rnacentral:rRNA from 1 species
AAUCAACGCUGGCGGCGUGCCUAACACAUGCAAGUCGAGCGAGAAAAGGGGAGCAAUCUCCUGAGUAAAGCGGCGCACGGGUGAGUAACACGUGGGUAAUCUGCCUUGGAGUGGGGAAGUAACACCGGGAAACCGGGUGCUAAUACCGCAUACGAUGACGAGAUCUGCGGAUUUUGUCAUGAAAGGAAGCAAUUCGCUCCAAGAGGAGCCCGCCGGCUGAUUAGCUAGUUGGUUGAGGUAAUGGCUCACCAAGGCAACGAUCAGUAGCCGGUCUGAGAGGACGGUCGGCCACACUGGAACUGAGACACGGUCCA